CAGCAGCCACGGUAAUACAGAGGAUGCAAGCGUUAUCCGGAAUGAUUGGGUGUAAAGCGUCUGUAGGUGGCUUUUCAAGUCCGCCGUCAAAUCCCAGGGCUCAACCCUGGACAGGCGGUGGAAACUACCAAGCUGGAGUACGGUAGGGGCAGAGGGAAUUUCCGGUGGAGCGGUGAAAUGCGUUGAGGUCGGAAAGAACACCAUCGGCGAAAGCACUCUGCUGGGCCGACACUGACACUGAGAGACGAAAGCUAGGGGAGCAAAUGGGAUUAGAUACCCGCGUAGUCCCUGUCUCUUAUAC
rnacentral:rRNA from 1 species